CCGGAAAUGGAAAAGCGAGGGUGAUGAUAGCAAACAUGGCGGCCUCUAUUGGAAAGACAUCCUAAGAAUUUGUGGACAGUUGAUGGCAUUGGGAAAAACUCAUCAAUGAUGCAUUUGCAAACUUUAAGAGGUGCUUUGUGGAAAUAAAUCCAAUGCCUGGGUCCAAGACAUAAAAGAUGAUUUUUAUUAUUUGUAAAUGUUGCGAUUUGUAAUACAUUUGUUAUGUUGUAUAUAUGUAUUUGUGAAUUAUUUUGUAUUGCUCAAAUUCUAAAAUAAACAAGAUCUCCACGUAAGGUUUCUUAUUUUUUCUGUGUUUAAAAUAUUUUCAAUAAUAGAGAGCUUGGAUUAAACUGUCAUUUGGGAGGUAAAACUCAGUACCAGCAAAUUUUACAUUAUUGUCAUCUACUGUACUUAAGUUUUUUUUUUUUUUUUUUGUACAAGCUUGCUUAUUUGGUUGGAACUCGAAAAAUAGAGCUCGAGUAAAAUGUAAAAUUUCAGCAUUUCCCUAAUGCUGGUAUGGAAUUCAAAAAUUAUUUUUUCACAUAGCUCAAAAAAUCAUUUCUGCAGGUAUACCUUCCCAUAGUAGUACAUUCAAAUGCAUAUGCAAUUGCAGAUUCUUGCUUCUUUUUUUUUUUUUUUUUUCAUGUUAGUGCACUUGAAUGCAUAAAUGUUUAUUGCUGGGUUUUUUACUUGAUUUUAGGUCCUUUUUUAUCUUUGAAAAAAAAUUUAAGAAGUAAUUUUUGUUUCGCCAUGUCUCAUAGAAAAAUUUAAGAAGUAAUU